UACGUAGGGGGCAAGCGUUGUCCGGAUUUAUUGGGCGUAAAGAGCGUGUAGGCGGCUUUACAGGUCCGUUGUGAAAACUCGAGGCUCAACCUCGAGACGCCGGUGGAAACCGUAAAGCUAGAGUCCGGAAGAGGAGAGUGGAAUUCCUGGUGUAGCGGUGAAAUGCGCAGAUAUCAGGAGGAACACCCGUGGCGAAAGCGGCAUCUCUGGGACGGUACUGACGGCUGAGACGCGAAAAGCGUGGGGAGCAAACAGGAUUAGAACCUCC
rnacentral:rRNA from 1 species